CCGUUAUUCGAGAAGCAUUCCAGGAGGAGAAACGUUGCAGUCAGCCAUUUUGGAGAAGCUGCAAGCACCUGCUGGCUGGAGGAACUUGUGAAAGUGAAGACGUUGGAGUUCCCUGCAGAGGGAGAUCCGUUCAGGAGAACAAGGAGGUGUCGGUCAUUUCACCUUCCACAGGGCCCCUGGUGCAGCUGGUGGGUGGCAGCAGCAGGAAAGAAGGGCGAGUGGAGGUUUAUUUCCAUGGAGACUGGGAGGCACUCGAGUUGGAACGACCUGAACGUGGCUGUGAUGUGCAGACAACUGGGACACAGUGGCAGAGCGACAGCAGCUUUGGUCAGGGGAAAGGACCCCUCCACCUGGACCAGGUGAGGUGCACAGGGAAGGAGGAGUCUCGGAAGGUUUGGCAGCGAUCCCACCAUCCAUGUGGUGAUUGUCGAGGAGUCGGAGCAAACGCUGACACCUGAGUGGCUGGUGCUUGACAGGAAGUUCAGGGGACUGAGCGGCGGUCACGACUUGCUGAAGCUGCUAGGCACCAAGGAUCACUUUCUGACCUUUGACCCCAACACUAACACAACCUGUCUCCCCAGUACUGAUAGGGGAGAAGAAGAAGAAGAAGGUAAACGCAGCUGAGGCUUCAACAUCCCAUCACUACAGCCAGCCUUCAGCUCAGUGAACAGAGGUUCAGGCACUUACCUCCGGAACCCGUAUAUGGUCACCACCGCUGGUGUUGAUGCGUCAACAAUGUCAGGGAUGAUAUCCCUCUCCCUAAAAAGGGGAAGGGACCUCCCUGGAGGGGGGGCUAUGAUUACACUUCCUGGUAAAUGUGGAGGGUUCCCGAAGGCCAGGACCGACUCCCCUGGCCGUGCAGCAGCAGUGCUGCCGAACUGCAGAAUGGGCAGGGGAAGCUGUGGGAGGGCGAUGAAGACAAUGCAGAUUUGAGCAGAUUCUUGACACCACUUACUACAUCAGAGAAGAUCUCUGCUUGAUUUAUAUACAGCUCUCACUUCCUCAGUAAAGCCCAUAAUAUCACGGUAUAAGGGGGUUUCAAAAGGGGGUGGAAAAAAGCUUCAGUUCUUUAAGAUGUAGUUUCUUAACUUUUUUUUCUACUCAAAAACAGCAACUGGCUGCUGUGCGUUGUCACGGUAACACAGUAACGCGCCCACUACGUAACCGCUAUUUGUGGAAAAAAAGCGAUCAAAAAUAUUAAUAAUAAAGGAACUAAAACUUGCUGAAAUUUUCAUUCUUUUGUACGUUUCCAUGAUAAAAACGGUUUAAUGGCCUUCAAAAUAUGUAUUAUUAGCAUUAACGUUCCUUAGACAGCCGUUUGUUCGCAAGCUAGCAGUAGGCGCACUUUACCAAAUCUUCACUUUGAACAAAAUCAUUCAAAUAGGGCCGUAAUUUUUCACUGAAAUGAUACCUCAUAAUUAAGUGUUGCAUAUUUAUAUUUUAGAAUCAAUUUUGUAGAUCUUACUGGGUUACCAACCUAUUGUUGAAGCCGAUGAGGAUGCAUCACUUUAUCUUGCCGCCGCCAUUUUGACUCGUCUAACGUAACUUUGAGGACCUUCUUGUUUUUAUUCAAAUACAAACCACGUGGUCCAUAUUUUUUUCUCAUGCCUCUCUCAUCUUUUAAGUGGGAGAACUUUUGGGGGCUGAUUAAAUACUUUGAAUAUGACAACUGGAAUGAGCAACGUUGAUUUGCUUUUUCUCGCGUUUUGGGUAGUGCCUUGAGACAACCACAGCUGUGAACUGACUCUAAAGUAAAGUGGGUUGAAAAGAAGAAAGGAAAGGGGAAAAGGGAGAGGAAGAACACACAUUCUCACGGAGGAAUUAAUGUGAAUGAGGGCGAUGUCUGCCUCCUCAUCAACACGUUUGAUGGUGGCUUCAAUUUUCUGCUGACUUUCAAGCUCCACCUGGAAAUCAGUGAGGACACAAUCAGACCUAUUUCCUGUUCUUCAAACUAUGACGAAUUGAAGUUUUAGUAAAACUACGUUGCUGUCGCUCACCUGCACUCUGCAGCUCCCCCGGACGACUUGGGCAGUGAUGAUAAUAUCACCGUCCUCCGUUAUGAUGAAUCCAGUCCGUGUCAGCCAAAGCGCCUCCCCCCUGAAGAAGGGCUGACUGGGGUGGGGGGGUGACAAUCUAUGAGAGCAGUGGAAACAAAUCCAUUUUCCUGUUGCUCAAAAUGGAUAGCUAUUAUUACACUUAUUUAUUAUAGUUAAUAUUAUCUUAUUAUACUCUGAAUGUCAGAAUCCAGCUUCUGCUCAGAUGUGAGAUGCAUUUUUGCCAGUGACACCCCCGAGUUUCUGUGCUGAAAGAAAGCAGGGAAUAGCUUCAGUCAGUAAUGAAAUGGAUAAAAAAAA